rnacentral:lncRNA from 1 species
AUGAAAAAGUUUAUCUGGAGCAAUUCCAACAGGAGAAAGGAGGGUAUUCCUGUGUACAUGUUUAGAGAAAGCCAAAUUUCCUGUCUCCUAAAUUUUUUUUUUUUUUCUUUUUGGUACUGGGGAUCGAACUCGGGUCCUUGUGCUUGUGAGGCAGGUGGUGAAACCACUGAGCUGAAUCCCUGGCUCCCCUGCAUUUUUAAAAAAUCACUGGCUAAAAAUACAGCCCUCAAUAUUUCCAGAGCAACAAAAAUUGUGUGCCAUGUGUCUCCACUCUCUUCUCAUUGGCUAUCUAUGUAAAGUAUUACAAUGUGAUUUUACUUUAAUAAGAUGACUAUUAGGAAAGGGGGCUUUUAAAUUAACCUGACUACUUUGCAGAACUGUAGCUACCUCAGUGUGUUUUUUCUCUUUUCAUGCCUUGUGGAAUCAUUGUAAUUGGAGAGUGACCCCUUCCAGGUGAAUCUGGCUAUUUCAUAAAGUGGCCAGCAGCAUUCUUAAGGGAGGAAGAAGCCAUUUUUCCACAAUUGGUGAUUUGGAAUAAAGGCAUAAACUGACAAAACUCAGAUGUGUAGUUAUAGUUCUGAGAAUGUAUUUUGAUUUUGUACUGGCUUGGGUAAUUUUGUUUGGGGAAAAGAAAAAUAGAGGUGGAACUCUAAAACUGCCAGGUGUAACACGUUUCUCAGUAGGGAAGAGACAGGUUAGUGGUAUUUGGGAUGGAAUUCUUCUUAGGUCUUGGCAGUGGGCACUAAAUGCUGCCCCGCUCACUGUGACAACUGAAAAUAUGCCCCAGGACUCACAGAUACCAUUAGGUGAUGGCUCUUUGCCAGUUCAGAAGCCCUAGUAGGGUUGAAUCAAAUGCUCAACUUUCUAAGCAUAGGAAAAAAAAGAAAAAGUGGUAGAGUUUCAAAUGUAUGACUCUCAUAAUUAUUACCAUAAUUUGGAGUUUCAAUCCUCAUUUUGAAUCUUUAAAUUUCUAAGUGUUUCUUUUAACUCUUCUCUUUUGAAAUGUACAUUUUUGUAAGUCAAGUAAUUGGAACUAAAUCUAACACUGAUAUUUUGCCAUUUGAAAAAUUAAUGUGUAGAGUGAAUUAGAAACUGCACAACUAACAUCAUCUCUAGAAAUUUUGGAUAUUCUGGUAAAACACAUAGAAACACCAGCUCUAUGGAAAUUUUGAUAUCAGUAAUCCUCCUUUUCUUA